rnacentral:lncRNA from 1 species
ACUAAUCCUAAGCAAAAAUUUAAAAUUUAAGAGUUGAAAAGAUCUGACCAAUGGGCUGCAAUCCAAUAGACAAGAAUGUCGUAUAGAAACCUAAAUUUCUCUUAGACUUUAGAAUCAAGCAAUAUCAAUACACAAAUAGCAAGAUGAAGAGAAAUGCAUCAAAUAAAUAUAGCCACAUCCAAGCUUAGCAAAUUCAUGAUCUCCUUCCUAAUCUUCCAUGUAUCAGAUGAAUUCAGUGAUAGGAACUAGGCACA